rnacentral:rRNA from 1 species
CUCUAGAGAGACUGCCGGUGACAAACCGGAGGAAGGUGGGGAUGACGUCAAGUCCUCAUGGCCCUUAUGGGUAGGGCUUCACACGUCAUACAAUGGUGCAUACAGAGGGUUGCCAAGCCGCGAGGUGGAGCUAAUCCCAGAAAAUGCAUCGUAGUCCGGAUCGUAGUCUGCAACUCGACUACGUGAAGCUGGAAUCGCUAGUAAUCGCGGAUCAGCAUGCCGCGGUGAAUACGUUCCCGGGUCUUGUACAC